UGGAUGCAGAGGCUGGGGGCUGGUCAGCGAGGAACAAUGGUCAUUUGUGAAGGAGAGGACACUUGAGAGCUCGGUGUCUCUAUAACAGGAGGCAAAACCAUGUUCACCAAUAAGGUUUCAACCCUUUAUUUAGUGAAAUGAAGUGUUAGGGAACACAGAGGGGGUUUUUAAGAGCUUACACGUCCAUGUCCAUCAGAACCAGAGCCACGGUGUGGGAAGAGAACCACAAGACAUUUCCUCAAAUACCUGUGGCUUUGUGCACUAACUCCUCCAGUCCUCACAACGGCCCAUGAGAACGGCACUUUUGUUUUAUCAUGGCCAUUUCACAGACACGGAACCCAAAUCAGGAGGAGCAACAACAAAAACAAACAAAAAACAAACAAACAAGAACAUAGUUCGAAGGAGAAAUGACUUGGCACCUGAGUUCAAGACUGUCUUAACCCAGAUGAAGGAAUCAAAGACCAGGAACACAAGCAAUUUGGUUACAAAGAAUUACACAGAAGUGAAAUGAGAACGGAAGCAAUUUCUUCUGAACCCUAGAACCACGGGGCAGCAUUACCAUGAAGUGACCUUAGAAUCAGGCUUCAAGAAUGACCACAGAAAUGAUAAUUCCAAAGAAAAAAGUAAACAGUUCGAUUACCAAUACAAAAAUUAAUAAAUGGAAUAGCAUUAAGCAAUGCCAGAUUUCAGUGGCGAAACAGAUUCAGAAUUUAUAUAUACCCUAUGUUGUGCUCUGACCACUAAACAACAUACAGCUUCCAGAAACCACAGACUGCAUUAUAGGUGACACCGGGGUAAGGGUAUAGAGAAAAAUGAGUGCUAUUCUUUGUUUAAAUAUCAUUUUUUUUUUAUAAGGAGGGAACAGAGUGAAUUUUAUAAAUGCUGGUUUAAAAACCAUUGAUCUUUAAGAAAGGAGAGAAAAAUCAAAUGUAAAAAACAUGUACUUGUGCUGAACUGUGAAUAAGAAAACCUUCACUGAAAUGUCUAAAGACGAUAGUGCCUGAAAGGACCCGUAGUAACAUGUAAAGCAGGCAGGAUUAUAAAUGCGUAGUUCUUGAAGAACACCAACGUUACACAGACCCUCCUCCUUUGCUGCCUUCCCAGAGGAUAGUGAGAUAAAGCUUACGGAGGCCUAGCCACCAAAGGCAGAGUUUGUCUUUUCAUAUGCCAGGCUAGCAAUUGGUACACAAUCCCUAUCUUAUCACCAUCACUGAGAAUUAUAAAUCUAACUUCUGGGUAGAUUGUCCAGAUAGCUUUCUUCAUCUUUGUAUACCCAGUGGCCUAAGUAUAGCUGGCACUCUGUAGAUUUUGUGGUGUUACAAGAUCACCAGUUAGUGCAAAGAGCAAAAUCCUCUCCUCCUCCUCUCUAUCCAGAAAUUGCUAAAAUGGUUAAGUGUCAACAAGAGAAAUAUCCAUAAGCAGGGCAGGACUGUCAUGGACUGAGUCAAUGGGGACUGGUUUCUGUUGGUAGUUUGUGAAUUUCUGUCAUUUGGAGAAUUAGUGUCAGCUGAACUCACAUAAGGGCAUUCUGCAAGGGAAAGAAAGAAAUAGGUUAUGAGUUUGGCCUUCAGUUUUAAUGAUUCUAUACAUGAGAAAAUUAGACUGUCUGAUUUUUGUUGCUUUUAGAAAUGUAAUACAUACCACACGAUGUGUUCCAUUUUGUAAUACCUGAGAGGCAAGUUUUUGGAAUAGCUCUGUAGAACCCAGUUUAUUACACAGAAUUAUGGAUUUCAGAGAAUCGAUCUGAUCCUUAGUCUGAUUCUCAGUGGCAUUACAUACCAAUACAAUGGGAUAGGAUGCCCACGGGCCUGCAUUGAAAAGUCUCCAUAAGACUGUUGACUCCUCCAAACUUAUUUAUAGCUUACUGUUGACUGGAAGCCUUACCCAUAACAUAGUUUACUU